rnacentral:rRNA from 1 species
UACGUAGGGUGCAAGCGUUGUCCGGAAUUAUUGGGCGUAAAGAGCUCGUAGGCGGUCUGUCGCGUCGGCUGUGAAAACCCGGAGCUCAACUCCGGGCCUGCAGUCGAUACGGGCAAACUGGAGUGUUGCAGGGGAGACUGGAAUUCCUGGUGUAGCGGUGAAAUGCGCAGAUAUCAGGAGGAACACCAAUUGCGAAGGCAGCUCGCUGGGACGUAACUGACGCUGAGACGCGAAAGCGUGGGGAGCAAACAGG